UACAGGGGGGGCAAGCGUUGUUCGGAAUUACUGGGCGUAAAGGGUUCGUAGGUGGCCACCUAAGUCAGACGUGAAAUCCCUCAGCUUAACUGGGGAACUGCGUCUGAUACUGGGUGGCUUGAGUGCAGGAGAGGGAUGCGGAAUUCCAGGUGUAGCGGUGAAAUGCGUAGAUAUCUGGAGGAACAUCGGUGGCGAAGGCGGCAUCCUGGACCGGUAUUGACGCUGAGGUGCGAAAGCGUGGGGAGCAAACAGG
rnacentral:rRNA from 1 species